UAUUUUUUAAAUGAGCUUCUUGUAGUGGAAGUUGCUAUUAUUAAUGUAGUGUUUAUAAUGUCCAGUUUAACUGUAAGUACUAAUGCUUUGGUACCUGGUAAUGAUGCUCAUAGAGUCACUUUUAGGGACUUGGAAAGUGAUAAUGUUGUAUUAUGUUUAAUAAUAACAAGUUUUAAUUUGAUUCUUACAGACCUGAGGACUUUGGUAUGAAGAGGAAUGCUCUUUUGCUCUUUUCUCAGCCCAGUGCUCACUUACGUUUGAUAAGUAUUGAAGUACCAGAAAUCAGAGUUCUUAGUUGCUUUCUGGCUCAGCUAAAAACUGACUGGCUAAUUCAGGCAGAAAUGGGACUAAUUUUAAAAAGUUUCAGAGGGAAGACUUUUAGGAUGCUAAAAAUAUUUUAUAAUUGGAUCUAGGUGGAGACUUCACAGGUGUUUACAUAUCAAGUUCCAUACUUAAGAUUUUUGCCCUUUAAAUAAAUCACACCUCAAUAUUUUUUUAAUGAGGAAUCUGGAGGAAUAGACUUGGAAAAUAAGCAGAGCUAAGAGAGGCUAGGUGAUCAGAAUGACAGCAACCAGGGCUGACCGAUUAGGGUGCUGCUGUUCUCACCACUGGCACCAAACACAAUUCCGUGCACACCACUGGAAUUAGUUUUGUUUUUUUUUUUAAUUUUUAAAAAAUGUUUGUUUUUGAGAGAGAGAGAAGACCGAGUUGGGGAGGAGCAGAGAGCGAGGGAGACAGAAUCCGAAGCAGGCUCCAGGCUCUGAGCUGUCAACACAGAGCCCAAUGAGGGGCCCAUCUCGCAAACCUUGAGAUGGUUAUCUGAGCCAAAGUCUGAUGCUUAACCAACUGAGCCACACAGGUGCCCCUGGAAUUGGUUAUAUUGCAUCGUUCCUGAUUCAAAGUCCCUGACAGAAGCAUCAGAUUGUGCCCCAGCUUCCAGGUGUCAGGGAGGGAGCACCUAGCUAGCAUCCUUUCCUUGGAAUUUACACAACAGUAAAUUCUAUGAAUUUAAGAAGGGGCUUCAGAUGCCAGGCCGCCUGACAGUGACAAAAUAUCACACUUUCCUGUCUUCAUCUUACUCUAUUGCCCCCAAACUGGAGUCUUUCUCUCACUCCCCUUACCCAACCCAUCAACAGUUCUAUGAUACAUCCUGAAACUGUGCACUUACUUGUGUCACUACUAUACCCUAGACCCAAGCCACCAUCAUCUCUCCAUCUCUUACUGCUUGUUUCUUCUCUUUGCUAUCAUUCUCCUCUCUCCACACUCACAAUCCAUCCUGUCCACAGAAGCCAAAGUCAUCUUUAAAAAAAUAGAUAAACUGCUAUAUAAUUUCUUCAGCCUCUUCUCUUCAGCCUGAAUUUCUUCAGUUCUCUUCUCUAGCAACACUGAGGUCUUGAUUGCUGCCUUAGGAUCUUUGCACUUGCCAUUUUCUCUUUGUGGAGUGCUCCUCAUCCAUAUUUGACUUGAGUGGUUAUUUUUUUGUCAUUUCACUUGUCUGCUCAAAUGCCACUUCAGAGGCUGCCUCUGAAAACCCAAUCAGUAGCCUGCCUUGAAAACUGGGGGAAGAAGAAGGUAGAGAUUUGUCGCUUGGAACAAGUACCAAAUAGUUAUGGUACUAUUUGAUUAAACGAUGGACAGUUAUAACUUUAGAAAAUGUUUACCUUUAAACCAAAUUUAGGAAGAAAAACUAAAAAAAAGCAUAUCUGCACCCUUACAUAUCUAGUUCACUGCCAUCUGCCUAAGAUUUAUAACAGAAGAUGUUCAGUUAACUAUUAAUGAAUGAAUACAAAAGGAUUCUCAGAGAAUGGUUGCCCUUUUGUCAGGAAAAGAUUAAGGGCCAUGAGAUGCAAUGUGUAUGUAAUUAUUCAAAUAUUUACUGCUGAGUAGUAAUUAUUUGUGGUUAAGAAAGUUAUCUUUUUUUUUUUUUAAGUAUGUUUUUUGUGGAAGGGGGAACAGCCUUGGGAAAAUUAGUAACUUAAAAAUUUAGUGGGUUGGUAAAUUUUAGGCAAUAGUUUUUUUGUUUGUUUUUUGUUUUUGCUGCAGAAUCGCAAUGUUUCAAUAGAAACAAUUAUUUAAAUAUUAUGUAUAUGAAAAAAGUGUUUCUCACCAUAAGGAAGGUUGGUCUCUCAGAGAGCUUUUGUUAAAAUGGGUCAUUUAUUUGUUUACAGAAAUCAUGAGCAAAAAAACAUCCUGAUUCAUUUUAGUGUGCACUUUUUGCUAGAACUGGAAAAACCUAUUUUCCAUUUUAGUAAAAGAAAAUAUUUUCAUAAAGCUGAAUGAACCCUAUAAGUAAGACUCUUAUUAGAAAGAGUCUGCUAUUAGAAUAGCAGAGACAAUUUGGGGGGACAGACACUACAUUUAAUGUUUUUUAUCUUUCUCAAUGUCAGGUGUUUGUUCUAAGCAAGUGAGAAAAAUUCCUACAUACUUCCCCUGGAUGGGGUUAACUUAAUCCUUAUCUGUUUGAUAAGGUCACUGGCAUGCUUUUAAGUCAUUUGAGUUAAUCUAGGUUUUUUGUUGUUGUUGUUUUGCUUAACGGAGGUAUUUAUGAAGUGAAAACUUGGUGUUGGCCUCAACAUUCUACAUACUUCUUUGACUGGAAACUCCUCUAAGGAGAGUUUAAAAUUCCAACUUCAGAAAAAUACAAUGACCAUUAAAUUCAGAAAAGGGAAAGUGCCUCACAUUCAAGACAUUUUUGUGAAAGUUAGGAGAGACCACAAGCCUGCAGCUCACUUUUUCUCGUAGCUGCAGAUACUGAACAGUGACCCCUUGUUCUUGACCUUUGUUCAAGAAAAGGGCUGCAGGUUGCCAACAUUUGCAGUCUCUUUUUGACUAACUUUCCCCUGCCCUGUAGCCAUUGUAAUGCCCACGUUUUAACCUAAGGGCAAAUUUGAAUCAUUAGGUAAGUGACAACAGCUUGUCUAAACUGGUAGAUAAGAAAUGUCAAAGCAUAAGGUGCCAUCUGUCCCAGGUUAUGAAUCUAUGUUUGAUCUGUACUCAGUGUCAAAACUCACCUGUAAAGUCAACCAAACUAUAAAGGAAGGCAUGGUAGUAUCUGUUUCCAUUGACAUCAUUCCUUACGAACGUUUUCAAAUGUAAAGAAAAGUUGAAAAUUAUGCCCAUAUAUCUACCAGCUAGAUUCUAUAAUUGUAAGCCUUUUGUUAUAUUAGUUUGAUCAUAUAUCCAUCUAUCCACCAUUAUCUGUCUUAAUUUUUGGUACAUUUUAAAGUAAGUCACAGACUUCAGUUCACUGUAAGUGUCAUUUUGGAAGCCAAAAAAAAAAAAAAAAUGGAGAUGAACUUGUCUGAUUAUAAUUAACUCCUAAAAGAGUCACAAAAUAUGUGAAUUUAUCACAAAACCUAGAUUUCAUCAUGGUUAGAGGGAUCCAACAUGGCUAUUAAUAGCCUCUAAACUAAUGUAUAUUUUGGGUAUCUUUUGAUCUUUUCCAUAUGACUUUUAGCUAUCCCAGACUACUAUCAUUCACAGACAACCUUCAGAAUUUCUAUCAUAUUCAAGUACCAUGUGUAAUAUUUUCUUAUUCUCUCUAAAAAAUUUUAUUUUCAGUUAAAUUUAUUUUUAGAGUACAACUUCAUAUUGCUACCAUAAAUGGAAAACCAGUAUGAUUUGUCAUAAACAAGUUGGCCAUAUUUUUUUUCUAUACACAAAAGUAAGUUCAUAUUGUAUACCUUGGCUUGCAUACUAAGGGAAAUACCAAGUUAUAGCCCCCAUCCUUCCCCCUUUCCUUUCACAAAUAUUGGGGCACAAGAAAAGUCAAAUCUUCAUUGGAGGUUAGACACACAGAUGAUAUUAGGCUGUUCUCUUUUUAAGGGACAAAAACACUACAUCUAGACUUGCCUAAGUCUCAUCUUGAGCUGACAAUGGCGAGAGAGAGCAGGGUGAGGAAGGGCCUGUCUGAAGCCCAUCUGAGAUUGUGUCCCAAGUGGAACACAUUCCUCAUAAGCCCUGUGUUUGUCAACCCCAGCUGCUCUGCAGACCCCACACUGGCAGGAACAGAGCCAAAGCCUAAUCCUUGCAGCUUGAGGUUUGGGGACCUAUCAGAGCCAUGGCUCUGACCAUAUUUUCUUUUUCAUUUUGUUUCCUCUUAUUGUUUUAACCCUCUCCUACCAACCUAUCUUCCCCAAACCCCCUCUAUGUUAACAUAGGUGUGGUAGGAGACCAACAACAUACCUAUUUUCCUUCCUGAAAUUAGAACCAAGACCUAGGAGCCAGACAUAUGGAGAUCAAAAUACCAGAUUUACCACGGAUGAAGUGACCAAAUGUCACAGGAUGAACUUUGGGACCCUUUGUCAAGUGGAACAGGAAAUAGAAGUGUGUAUUGGCAGCCAAAACCAACAUGCAAGGAUUUUCCAGGAGGUUAACUUCUCAGCUUGAGCCCCAGUGUGAACUGAAGAGCCCUCGGAGAGAGCUCAUCCCAGAAAAGGGGGAGACAGCACACUGCAUUGGCCUGAGUUCCAAAGCCUCGGAGUCCGAGAAAGGUGAGCAUUCUGAGUAGUCUGACCCAUCCCAUCCGAACCUUUUUCCUUCCCUCUCUCCUUCCAUACACAUCAGACUUGCAGUGAGGUCUAAAGGCUCUCCCUGGUUUCUUUCGUUCUCUCUACCAAUAAAUAUCCUGUACAUGUAGUCUUACCUUGGCAUUAGCUUCAUGCUGAACCUGAACUGACACAGAGUCAUUGUCUCAUCCCCUUUCCGCCAUGUUACAGGCCAUUAGGCAGCUCUAGUAUAUUGAGAGAAGGGAGCCUUGAGUGCCUGCUGGUUGUAGGCUUGUUUUUGAACAUAUGUGAGUCCUUCAUCCCAGGAACUACAGGACACACCUGGGGACACUUUGAGAUACCAGAUAAGUGGGUGGGGCAAGAUGCCAUGAAACGUGGGCUGUGGCUGUUUGUGUGACCCCAUUGGUGGCCAUAGGCUGGUGAGAUGAUGAGGAAAUUUAAGGUUAUAAACACACAAUAAAAAUAUCAUACUGAACUGAUGAUAACUGCUAUCAUAAGCAAGAUAAACAUGAACCCCAUGUUUAGUUUCUAUAGCAAGAAUAUUAUAAUCAUGUUGUACAUGUAAAUUAGGUAAAAUAGAGGCAAAAAUUUACUGCUUGCUGUAUGCUAGGCACUAUACUAAGCUCUUUAUUUGAUAACCCUAAGGCAGACGCUUAUUUAAUAUCCAUUACUCCCUUCUUCUAUGCUAAUAAAACCCUCUUUUGUUUGAGAAAACAAUGAACCAGCCCCAGCUAAUGGCUUAUGUCACACAAUCAUGACACUCCUGUUUUCCAUGGUCCCAGCUUCUUCUGCCCUGAGAGGUGUCCACACAACUCAGUUCUGUCCAGGAGACCUGAGCAGAAGUCUGCUGGGGUGGAGACAGAGGACUGAGUCAUGAAAAUGCUUCUCCUAGAAGACUACAGUAGCAAAUCCCUCACCCUCUUCAGAUCUUUGCUCAAAUGUCACCUUCCCAGUGACACCUACCCUGAACACCUGUUUAAAAUUGUAGAGCCAGGCACAUAGGACUCAAAACAUUAUGUUUUUCUUUGGGGCAAGACAUGAAAAAAAAAUAGGGAAAAUUGCCAGAGAAAGUGCAGAAUAGCAAGCACAA